rnacentral:lncRNA from 10 species
GUAAGUGAGGGAGUGUUGUUCCAGUCCAGAUUUGAUUCACUAUUUCUGAAAACAUGGAAAUGCAUUACCAAACAAUUGGACAAAUAUACGUUAAAAUUUAAAAAGAACCUUCUGCAGAAAAGAAAGGAGCAAUGGGGAUAAAACAGCCACACGGUCAUGGGUGUUGCACGUAUAAUAUUUUGUUCCAGUUGAAGCUCUGUGUUUUCUUAGCCAGUUUUCUCAUGACUACUGAUGUACUAAGUACAAUCACACCGGAGCUGGCCGACGUUAGACUGUGGGCUGUGGCCACGGAUGUCAAAUAACAGCCCUGGCCUCGUCCACACAGUAAAGAGCAGACCUCACACGGGAUGGUUUACCAUCAAGGGGUCCAGACAGAAAGGCUGUUCUAGAACCCCUCUCACUUAAAGAGCACAAAUCCGAAUGAAUACAUUGUUUUAUUGUUUUACCAGUAAGGUUCUUGACACUGAUGACUUACCUUCCUAUCCCCAGGAAACAGAUGGUAAGUGUCCUUGAGGAGAAUAUCCCUUCACAGCAAAUUCACAUCUUUCCUUCAGCCUAGAGAGAUCAGACAGAGAUGAAGACCUCACCACUAAAGACCCACUCUCCUAGCUGUUUUGGAGAGGUCGCUCUUGUCUUUAUAAACUUCUGAAGUUGUCUCUUGGCAUAUUUCCCUCCCCUCAAAUCCUUAUAAAAACAGGUGUGGCUAAAGCCUGUCUUUGCUGAAAGAACACUCUCUUCCUUAAUAGAAAAUUCUCUAUUGAAAACUUAUUUUCCCUGGCUGGGCUCAGUGGCUCACGCCUGUAAUCUCAUCACUUUGACAGGCCAAGGCGGGUGGAUCACACAGUCAGGAGAUCAAGACCAGCCUGGCCAACGUGGUGAAAUCCUGUCUCUACUAAAAAUACACAAAUUAGCUGGGUGUGGUGGUGCAUGCCUGUAAUCCCAGCUACUUGGGAGGCUGAGGCAGGAGAAUAGCUUGAACCAGGGAGUUGGAGGUUGCGGUGAGCCGAGAUCGUGCCACUGCACUCCAGCCUGGCGACAAAGUGAGACUCCAUCUCAAAAAAAAAAAAAAAAAAAGAAGAAAAGAAAGAAAGUCGUUUCCCUUUCUGGCUUCUGUGGUUAGCGGUGCAACAGUAGCAAAACUGGUCUCAGACAUGUGAGUGGGAGGCAGGAAAUCUGCAAAGUGACAAUGGUCACCAUGUGUACUCUUCACCCUUUCUGUGUGCUAG